UCUUUCGUAGUAUAGUGGUUAGUAUGCAAGCUUGUCACGCUUGAGACCCGGGUUCAAUUCCCGGCGAGAGAG
rnacentral:tRNA from 7 species